rnacentral:rRNA from 1 species
ACCUUUCAUGCGGUCUAUAAUGCAGUCGAGCGAACUGAUUAGAAGCUUGCUUCUAUGACGUUAGCGGCGGACGGGUGAGUAACACGUGGGCAACCUGCCUGUAAGACUGGGAUAACUUCGGGAAACCGAAGCUAAUACCGGAUAGGAUCUUCUCCUUCAUGGGAGAUGAUUGAAAGAUGGUUUCGGCUAUCACUUACAGAUGGGCCCGCGGUGCAUUAGCUAGUUGGUGAGGUAACGGCUCACCAAGGCAACGAUGCAUAGCCGACCUGAGAGGGUGAUCGGCCACACUGGGACUGAGACACGGCCCAGACUCCUACGGGAGGCAGCAGUAGGGAAUCUUCCGCAAUGGACGAAAGUCUGACGGAGCAACGCCGCGUGAGUGAUGAAGGCUUUCGGGUCGUAAAACUCUGUUGUUAGGGAAGAACAAGUACGAGAGUAACUGCUCGUACCUUGACGGUACCUAACCAGAAAGCCACGGCUAACUACGUGCCAGCAGCCGCGGUAAUACGUAGGUGGCAAGCGUUAUCCGGAAUUAUUGGGCGUAAAGCGCGCGCAGGCGGUUUCUUAAGUCUGAUGUGAAAGCCCACGGCUCAACCGUGGAGGGUCAUUGGAAACUGGGGAACUUGAGUGCAGAAGAGAAAAGCGGAAUUCCACGUGUAGCGGUGAAAUGCGUAGAGAUGUGGAGGAACACCAGUGGCGAAGGCGGCUUUUUGGUCUGUAACUGACGCUGAGGCGCGAAAGCGUGGGGAGCAAACAGGAUUAGAUACCCUGGUAGUCCACGCCGUAAACGAUGAGUGCUAAGUGUUAGAGGGUUUCCGCCCUUUAGUGCUGCAGCUAACGCAUUAAGCACUCCGCCUGGGGAGUACGGUCGCAAGACUGAAACUCAAAGGAAUUGACGGGGGCCCGCACAAGCGGUGGAGCAUGUGGGUUUAAUUCGAAGCAACGCGAAGAACCUUACCAGGUCUUGACAUCCUCUGACAACUCUAGAGAUAGAGCGUUUCCCCUUCGGGGGAAAGAAGUGACAGGUGGUGCAUGGUUGUCGUCAGCUCGUGUCGUGGAGAUGCUGGGUUAAGUCCCCGCCAACGAGCGCAAA